CAGUGUUCUAACAGAAGUCUGUCUGUGGUUGCUUUGGACCAAGGCAGAGUGCUCUAAAGGUGGCUGUGCUGUACCCAGUACUGUGUCUUCUGAUAGAAGGUUCUGAAGCAACACUGUAACUGCUGAAUGCUUCUGGCUGCUUCUUUCCACAGUAAAAGAUGAAAAGAAAUAUCUUUUAUUGAGAUAGACUGAGGUCCAGGAAAAACAAGUGCAACUUCAUGGUCCUUUUCUUCAUAUUCUGGAAUACAAGAAAACGUGUAAAUGUUUGCAAAUUCAGGUACAUUUUCAACUGGAAUGUAACAUGUAGAGCAGUAGAACAUUCUGGAACCACCACAUUUGAGACAUUUUGAUCUCCCACUUUGCUGAGCUUUUUGAAGAACUUCUUGAGAUGCUAAACAUAAGUUUUGAAGGGGAUCUUCUGAAGCUAUGGAAGUAGUUUGUGACUGUUUUGUUUCCACAAAGUUUGAAUUAUUUUCUUCACUUCAUUUGAGAAAUAUAGGUGGAUUGAGAGACAUUCUUCAUUCAAACAAAAGUUUAACAGCUAUUUCUAAAACACAUAUCAUCUGAAGCUAUGGAAGUAGUUUGUGACUGUUUUGUUUCCACAAAGUUUGAAUUAUUUUCUUCACUUCAUUUGAGAAAUAUAGGUGGAUUGAGAGACAUUCUUCAUUCAAACAAAAGUUUAACAGCUAUUUCUAAAACACAUAUCAUAUGUGCACUGCGAGUCCUCGAACAGCUCCACGCGUCUCCAGCUCUGCCCAAGCCCGAGCCACGCGACGGGCUGUGAUCGCGCACGGACCAGACGAGAGCUCUUCAACUGUGUGAUCCAAAUGAAUUUGAGAACACCUAUUUACUGCUCCGCCCUGUGUCCUGCUGGCCAGAAGUGCCCAUCAAUUUCAAAGGCCUCUGUGUGACUGGAUUGAGGAAGCCAAGAGCAGGGAGAAGAAUAGAUCCAGGUCUUCCCAUUACUCCAAAAUGGAGCCUAGCCCUCUGGCAGCACAGUCGGCCAGCUGGGACCACGGUGGCCAUUACUGGAAGUGUGAUCAUCUGCCCUCUCUCCUCAGUGCCCUUGGAAUAUGUGCUCUUCUGUCUGGCUUCAAUUUCUCUUACUUCUUUGUGUGUGAAGAGUCUUCCUUUCAAUCAGCAAACUCUUCCUGCACACUAUAAAGCCCACUUUGGUCUUCAGAAUCUUUCAGUGCCUGAGCUUGUCAGUAUGAGGUUUCUCUUUCUUUAUUUCCAAAUGUCCUGCUUUCUUUGUGUGCAACUUCUUAAGAAUUUGGCAAAGUAAACAACAAAGCAGCAAUAUUUCAUAGGGUUUAAACUUCCCUUUGGUCCUGGAUAGAAAGGAUUUUUUUUUUUUUUUUGAGACGGAGUUUUGCUCUUGUAGCACUGGCUAGAGUGCAAUGGCGCAAUCUUGGCUCACUGCAACCUCUGCCUCCUGGGUUCAAGGGAUUCUCCUGCCUCAGCCUUCCGAGUAGCUGGGAUUACAGGCACCCACCACCACGCUGGCUAUUUUUUUUGUAUUUCUCAGGAGAGACAGCAUUUCACCAUGUUGGUCAGGCUGGUCUCGAACUCCUGACCUCAGGUGAUCCACCCACCUUGGCUUCCCAAAGUGCUGGGAUUAUAGGCCUGCCACCUGGAUCUAUUCUUCUCCCUGCUCCUGGCUUUUUCAAUCCAGUCACAAAGAGGCCUUUGAAAUUGAUGCCUGCCACCACACCUGGCAGAAAGGAUGUUUUUGUUUCUUCUUUUUCCUGUUCCUUUCUCUGCAAUCAUCUCUCUGAGUCUCAGACAUGUGGCACUGGUUGGCUGGCAGCACCUUCUGUGUGUCUGAGCCCUUACAUAGCUUCCAGAGGAAGGGGUGCUCCGUUGGGGUCCUGCCUGCUUUUGGAGCAUUAGAAUCUCCUUUUUUGCAAGCCUCUGUCUCCCAUCAUUUAACACCCAGCUGUGUCUCUCUGCCCACUGACCAGAAUCUUUUCGCAGUAGGUGGGUUUUAAAAAGCACUCACCAGAACUCCCAAAUGCUAGGGUCUCAUGGCCCCUCAAAAACUCAUUACCUUCUCUUUGGGAUCCUCAGACCUGGCAGGAACCUCACAUAGGAAGAAAGGCAGCCAGGGAGCAGGCAGUGAGGACAGGUUGUAAUCAGGCAGUUCUGGCUGGGCAUAAAGUCUGCUCCUGCUGAAGGCAAGCUGCUCAACACUGCACUGGACAUCCUCCAUGUGUGGAAUCUAGGCAAAGCAGCUCUGUCCUCUAUUAACAAAUAACUGAGCCUGGGCAAUCUGUUACUUCAACUGUCCUUUCAAGCCAGGCUUUGCAGUAACAGGAAUUUGAGGUCCAGCAUGCAGAGACAGACCUAAGUGUGAGCCUCUGCUACUUAUGAGCUGUGUGACCUGGGGCAAAUUACUUAACCUCUCUAUACCCUAUUCCCUUCACUUGUGCAAUAAGAAUAAAUAAUACCACACACUUCGGAGGCAUGGCGUAAGACUCAAAUGACUAAUAUAGGGAUAGUUCAGGGGCAGAUACACGGUUGGAAAGCACACUAGAAAUAUCAGUAGAAUCUGAAUUUUCCCCUACCUGCCUCCUUGUUUUCACUACAAAUAACAUUUCCUUUCCUGCUUUUAAGUCAAGAGGGGAACACACUGAUUCUUUAGCAGACAGUUUAGCACACACUUCAAGCCAGAGAGUGUACCAGCAAUGUGGAUUCAGAAAUAAAUAUGAUGGGAGCCCUGCUCUCACAGGAUGGGGUUGGGGGUGGGGGAUAAAGUCCCAAGGGAGUUGGACAGUCUCCAGAUGGGUAGUCACUGCUGGGCAGAAACACAUGAGGGAAGUGUCAGGAGCCCGAAAGAAGCUCUGAACAGGUUGGAACACGUUUUCUGGAGGAUGGGACAUUGAAACUGAAUCACCUACAAUGUUGAAGGCAGAUGGUAACCUAAGAAAGGUAAAGCCUUGUUAAUCAAAUCAAUUCUUUUCACUUUAACUGUAUUGGAAAGAUACUUUAAAAAAUCUUCAUAACAACUGAAGCUCGAUGAUGCCUUGAUUCUGCAUUAACAUCCUUGCCCAUUUCUUGAUACAUUUUCAAUUUACCUUCAUGGUAAUUUACACUCAAGGAAGCUGUCCAAGAUAUGCGGGGGAUUCAAUAAAAUAGGUCAUGGAGUUAAAUGCUGUGGUGAAACACAGGGCUUAAUUUUAUGGAUAAAAUUUAAACUGCUUAGCUGCCUUUUUUGCAUUAUUCAUGUUAAGACUAAUGAUUACUCACUAAAUGGGAAGGAAUCACUGUAGAAAUCAGGAAGCCAUUUUCUUAAUUCUUUAAGCACAUCUGAUGGAGCUGUGGACUCUGCCCUUGAGGUUAACAGCAUUGUAUUAGGGAAGAGACCUGCUUGGCCCACCAGUCAACCUCCCUUGCCUGGGCUGCUCCUGAAACUGCUACAGGAACAGGAAACUUGAAACAAGAUUUUUUCCUAAAAUUGACAUUGGGUAGAAUGAACAGGAUAGAAGACAAUAUAUUAAUGUCAGUUCCUUCUGGUAUUUUUCAAAGUGAAGUCUGCAUUGAUGUCAUUGACAAAAAUGCAAAUUCCAGAUUGUAACCAAAUCUGCUUACUGGCAGUGAGGUUUAGGCACUUUAAUUAUUCACAAGCAUCCCAGGCAAUUCUUAUGUGCUAGUGGAGAACCACAGAUUGGCAUUGGCUAUAGAGAGACCACUUCCUUUCAGUCAUCCAAGGUUAUUUUAUUAACUUAGCACUGGGCUCCAACGUAAACAAGGGCUACUUUUCUAUAAUGAUCAAAUUACUAAUUUUAUAAGUAUAGAAUAAAAGGAUAUGGGUUUCUUAGAUUGUAAAUGUUUGAUGUAGUUAAUGCAAUUUCAUUUUUGAGGUUUGUUUCUAAUAAUACUCUUAAUUUACAUGUCUAAUGGAUUCCUUGUACACAAUUCUGAUCAUGUAAAUUUAAGAUGAUCUUUUCCACUUUGCAAUACAAGACAUUUAAAAUAACCUAAAGUUGCCCAUUCUCACUAAGCACCUGAAAAUUAGUCCCUGUGGGGAAACUUUUUUCAAGUUUUAUUUUUCUUUUUAUUUCAAGUGUUGUUUAUAUUGUUUCUCUAACUGUUCUACCUAAUGAUUGAUAGGCACCUACCUUCCCCAAAGAAAAAGGGUUAAGUGAUCAAAUAUGUUUGGGAAACACGAGGGCAAACAAAGUGAAACAGACUUUUACUGCAGAUUGCGGAUCCUUUGAGAGCCCUUAAUGUGCACAGUAAUUCUCCAAGAAGGGGACAGAAGUCCCUGGGCUUCCCAUGCUUGUUUAGUUUUUAUGGAUCCCUCUGCUGGAUGAGUGUUCACAGGACCACACUUUGUGAAAUACUCAGUCAGCUCUAUCAGCAAAUUAUAUCACGGGAAUUGGUUACUUUCAUUUGGAUGCUUUGCCCAUGUUACCCAGACUUAGGAAAAUAUUUUACAAUUUGGGGUGUAUAUGAGAUAUUUGGGGGCAUUUUCUCCAAUAUCAACUUCCUGCUUCUGAAAUUCAGGUUAAAACACUGACCUAAAUUACGGAAAUCACAAUCUCCUUCACCAUCACCAACAGUGCCACCAUCAUCAAAUCAUGAUCAGCAUCGACCAACACGAUGAUUCCCACUACCACUAUCACAUUAAUAGCACCACUACCAUCCUACCGUGCCCAGCGAGACAACUGCCAUCACGGUCACUAUGACCAACACCAUAUUACCACCGCUGCCACUAAUAUGCCUCAUUGCUAUGCCAAUAAUCACUAACAGCAUUACCACCACACUCCAACUAACCAAUGCUGCUGCCAUCAUUACUGCCAUGAUCUGUACUACCACCACUGCCACUAGUGCAAACAUCACCACUACUGCUGUUAAAGCAGCCACCACCACUGCACCCACUGUCGCCACUGUCCUUUCCACAUCCAGAUGAAGAAAGAAGAAGAGAUAGAAAGCAUAGUUUCAUUAUUCUAGGUCAUAUUCAAAGGUUGGUCACUAGAUAUAAUUGCACAUAUGUUCCCCUAGUUACUAUGGCAUCCCAAUAGCCAUCAAGUGGAACCAGACAUGGUAUCAUAGCAGAAUCCUGAGGUCUAAGGUCUAGUUUAAAUAAGACUUCUGAUCCAAGGUAGGGGUCCCUCAAUUACCUCUAUGACAGGAGGCAAAGAUGUCACACACGACUGCAUGUCAGCUAAACUCAUUGGAAGAUUCAUUUCUGCCUUCAUAAAUGUAGACACUGGGCUUCAGCUAGUUGUAAGGGAGCAGCCCCUGGUGCAAGCCACGUAGCAACUAGAGGGGCUUUAAAAUCAGCACAAAAUUAAGUUUUAUUGCUGCUUUGAGGAAUGUUCAGGUUGGUGGGAGGGGAUUACAGCAGACAAGUGUUUAAUUUACUCAACUAUAUGCUCAAGUUUAUGUAACUGAGCUAUUUUAAAAUUACAUUUUAUGUAUGCAUUGCUGUAUAUAUUGCACAUAUAUAAAUGUACAAUAAUAAUAAAGAGUGGCAUAUAUGAGUCUCAGGAAUUGUGCCAAAGGCUUUACAUAUACUCUCUUUAAUCCUUUUAACUCCUGUAUGAAAGGAGUGUGACUGUCAUUCUCAUUUUCCUAAUGAACAAACUGUGGCAUGAAGAGGUUAAAUAAUUAGCCUAAGCUUACAAAGCUAAUUAAUUGUAAGACUAAGAUCUAAACCCAGGUAGUCUGGUUCCAGGGCCCAUGAUCUUAACCAACACUCUACAUUUUAACACACUGUCUGCACAUUGUCUACACACAGAUGCAGUGUGUGUACAUCAGUUGUAUAAAUAUAUCAUCUUGCAUGAAGUAAUUUAAGGGAUGUUCAAGGAUAUUGUUGAUUAUAUGCAAUUUAUCUCAUGUGCUGAUUUUUAAGCCUAGUCCCAGAGGAAAUGCAAGUUCACUGAAAUCUAAGGGGGGAAAAAAGACACGAAAAACCAACAAGUGCAAAGCAGUGUGGUGCAGAAUGUGGUGGCAGAGCAACAACCACUCUCAGCAAAAUCCUCAUUAAUUCAUGCCAGUAAGUAUGCAAUGAGGAACUGCAGUAUGCAGGGCACUGGGUGGGGCGAUGCCAGCCCUCCUGAUCCUUAUCCCAUAACUUAUCAGGUGUGUUCAAGUUCUUAGUGCGUCUCAAGAAAAAAUAUCUCAGGUUCGAAUUGCUGCAAAGUUUUUCAAGCACAUCCACCGAUAGCAAGACCCACUGGAGGCAGAUCAGCGAUGAGUCUGAGGGCGGCACAAAGGGUGCUACCAGGUGAUGUCCAAAUCUACAGCUCUAGACUUGACCCUGCUUAUGGGCCCCUAAAGGUACACAGACGUCUGCCUGACACUGGCUUGAUGACAAGACAGACAUGGAAUCAAAGCCAACAAGUACUUUCUAACCGAGUUACCUUGAUUAAGUGUAUGAGUCAGGAGAGGCCAGAUAUUUGAAUAGCUAACAGCAGCCUUGGAAGACUGAUAUUGUCUCCUGCUGGGACAAAGGCAGGCAGAGUUACUGUCCAGUAUAAUGAAGAUGAUGUCCUUCUUUGGAGCAAAAGACAGGCAUGUUUAUUGUCCCUGAUAAAAUAUCUGGGUUCCUGAAGCCCAGGGAUCUUCUCCCAUAACACAAUCCACUGCAAGUAUGGGUAUCAUGUGGCCAUCUUCACAUCCUCCUGUGGGAAUUGUAGCUCAGAAAAUGGCACAAGAAAAUGCUGACAUCUGGCUACUGCUGUUGCCAUGAGUAAUAAAGUCUUUUGUCUCCGAGGGAGAAGUCUCAUGUCUUCUGCCAGCAUCCAUGAAACUGUGGCAGGUUAACUUGUUAGCUUGCAAGUAGGGUAAAAUUUCAGACCCUUUAUGGUUCUUUACAGACAGCAGAGUCAAUUCUGGAGUUCCCCUAGUGAACCAGGAAAUACCACAGAGGGACAGACAAUUGAGAAGAGAAAGAUGCUGAGGAGAUACUAGAGGUCAUGAGGCCCUGACCACACUCCUUCCAUAUAUAAUACAAUUUAUUUCCAUCAGAAAGAAACUCAGAUAAAAGUGACUGUCUACAUGGCCACAGUCCAGCUGUCUUCACAUGGAAACAGAAUCAGAAGAACCCCUUCCCAGUGAGGUGGGACAGUGCAUGGUGGGACUCUGUAGUCCCAUGCACCAGCAGGACAGGUUUUCUGAAACUGUGCAUGCAUAAGGGUCCUAGGAACAUGCUAGUAGAAAUGGUACCAUGACCAUCAGUAUGGGUGGUGGAUUCCAGUCAACAGAAGGAGGUCACACAGAAGGGGCUAGUGUCCCAGUGUCUGCCCUGUGCCUGAGUGGGCAAAAGCAGCCUGAUUGGGGGAAAACUCAGGAGAUCAGCCAGGCUGCUUUCUGGUUUUAAGAAAUGAAGAUUCUGGUAAAGGAGAAAGAAAAAUUGCUGAGGAAUAUAGGGUGACAGUUGUCUCCCCUAUGCUACUCAGCCUUGUCCUUAAGUUCUCACAUCCUCUUAGGACCAGCCCUAAAAUGUAAUCUAAAAAUCCUAAUAAAAAAGGC
rnacentral:lncRNA from 10 species